GUGGGAGGGGGCUUGCUCCCGAUGGCGGUGUGUCAGCCAGAAAUAUAUCAACUGAUACACCGCUAUCGGGAGCAAGCCCCCUCCCAC
rnacentral:misc_RNA from 1 species